rnacentral:rRNA from 1 species
GAUGAACGCUGGCGGCGUGCCUAAUACAUGCAAGUCGAGCGAACGGACGAGAAGCUUGCUUCUCUGAUGUUAGCGGCGGACGGGUGAGUAACACGUGGAUAACCUACCUAUAAGACUGGGAUAACUUCGGGAAACCGGAGCUAAUACCGGAUAAUAUUUUGAACCGCAUGGUUCAAAAGUGAAAGACGGUCUUGCUGUCACUUAUAGAUGGAUCCGCGCUGCAUUAGCUAGUUGGUAAGGUAACGGCUUACCAAGGCAACGAUGCAUAGCCGACCUGAGAGGGUGAUCGGCCACCCUGAAACGGAGACACGGUCCGGCCUCCAACGGAGGGCAGCAGUAGGGAUUCUACAGCAAGGGGGGAAAGCCUGCCGGAGAAAGGCCCGUGGAGUGAGGAAGGUCUUCGGUUGGUAAAACCCUUUUUUGGGGGAGAAACAAAGGUGUAGGUACCGGUGCACAUUUGAAGGGACCCUAGUAAAAAGCCGCGGCUAACUACGU